CGCCGGGCCUUGAACCCCUAGCUGAACACACACGCAGGCAGAAACUGAUUUCCCCUAAAACAGAGUGCUGCCAAGACCCCCGAUGCUCCAGAAUGGCCAUCGGUGCCGGGCCCCACCCCCAUCCUCUCCACCGGAAUGGGCACUGGCUGGGGGCCCUGUGCUUCACAGCAUUUCACAGAACAUAAGAAGAGUUAAGUGCCCUGGAAAUGGAACUAGAGGCAGGACAGAAGCCUCAAUAAGGCCGUGGGCAGUGAGCGCCCGCCAGCAAGGAUGUGCCUCGGCAGAAGCCCCCUGGGGCAGGGACAGGGCAGGCUCAAGACAGGCCAGGUCCCGUUCUUCAGGAAGCCGUCCCAGAUUGCCAGCAUGAGCCUGUAUGCUCACUCACCUCUUCUGCUAGGCUAGGGCUGCUGUGGAAAGCUCCAAAGUGGCCCGUUUCUUCACCAGACCCUUCUGGAGAGCUGCCCACCCAGGGGCUUCACCGCAAGCGAAAUCAACACGAUGCCCAACGGGCACGUCAAUAUGUGCAAAGCACUCAAAACCGUCUUCUGUAACUGGGAGUUAGACAUGAGGGCCAGCCACAAGAGCUCCCCUGCUGAGACACAGUGAGCUCCCUCACACGCUCACUGUGAGUAUUCAAAACUCCAUUUAAACUGACAAUCCUGAAAGCUGUUUACAUAUCUGUUCUUAAAGACUAAAUCUUUAACUUUCCCAAUUCUGUCUCAUGAGCUCAAUGAAAGAAAUCUUUUAGUAAAAUGCAGAAAGUAUCCUCUUUCACACACAGGACAGACAGCACAGCUUGCAAAGACCGAUCACUUCCUCCCACCAAGACAAGCACUGGCCUGGGCUGCGCAUGCAGGGGAGGAGGCAGGGCCCUGGUGGCCCCACAGCGUGCAGGGUGGGAGGCGGGGCCCCAGGGAGAGUCCCGCUGCCUG